ACAUGCAAGUCGAACGAACUCUGGUAUUGAUUGGUGCUUGCAUCAUGAUUUACAUUUGAGUGAGUGGCGAACUGGUGAGUAACACGUGGGAAACCUGCCCAGAAGCGGGGGAUAACACCUGGAAACAGAUGCUAAUACCGCAUAACAACUUGGACCGCAUGGUCCGAGUUUGAAAGAUGGCUUCGGCUAUCACUUUUGGAUGGUCCCGCGGCGUAUUAGCUAGAUGGUGGGGUAACGGCUCACCAUGGCAAUGAUACGUAGCCGACCUGAGAGGGUAAUCGGCCACAUUGGGACUGAGACACGGCCCAAACUCCUACGGGAGGCAGCAGUAGGGAAUCUUCCACAAUGGACGAAAGUCUGAUGGAGCAACGCCGCGUGAGUGAAGAAGGGUUUCGGCUCGUAAAACUCUGUUGUUAAAGAAGAACAUAUCUGAGAGUAACUGUUCAGGUAUUGACGGUAUUUAACCAGAAAGCCACGGCUAACUACGUGCCAGCAGCCGCGGUAAUACGUAGGUGGCAAGCGUUGUCCGGAUUUAUUGGGCGUAAAGCGAGCGCAGGCGGUUUUUUAAGUCUGAUGUGAAAGCCUUCGGCUCAACCGAAGAAGUGCAUCGGAAACUGGGAAACUUGAGUGCAGAAGAGGACAGUGGAACUCCAUGUGUAGCGGUGAAAUGCGUAGAUAUA
rnacentral:rRNA from 1 species